UACGGGGGGGGCAAGCGUUGUUCGGAAUUACUGGGCGUAAAGGGCUCGUAGGCGGCCAACUAAGUCGGAUGUGGAAUCCCCAGGCUUAACCGGGGAACUGCGUCUGAUACUGGAUGGCUUGAGUUUGGGAGAGGGAUGCGGAAUUCCAGGUGUAGCGGUGAAAUGCGUAGAUAUCUGGAGGAACACCGGUGGCGAAGGCGGCAUCCUGGACCAACACUGACACUGAGGAGCGAAAGCCAGGGGAGCAAACGGG
rnacentral:rRNA from 1 species